rnacentral:tRNA from 1 species
CAAAUAGUAGCUUAACACAAAGCCUUCAACUUACAAUUGAACCAUGUUAGUUUAAUCCUAACCUCUUUGA